GUAAUAGCUUAGAGUGUUAAAUUUUGUGAUUUACUACUUGAUAUGGUAGCACAAAAUUAGAACUACAAGAAGAAUAAAGGCUUGGUCACCUUACCUGUAAGAUCUACUAAUGACAAUAACUUUAUAGAGAAAAUUGCUCCUCUUUAAGCAAUGCCUCAUCUGACUUGAUGCUCUCUGCUGCAGAAGGUGAAAUUGCAACAAUUACAAACUUGAUCUUGGCUGUGACCCCUGAAUUGACCUUUUGAAGGAACCUGGAUUAUGUCUGAAUCUAUUAUCUCUGCAAGGAGACCAGCUGUCUUCAGAAUUGCUUUUGGGGCCCCGUAAUGUCAUCGUGAAAUUGCAGUUAGUAAUCUUGCCAACAAUUUCCAGAUUUGGUGCAGAUAAGCUUGAACACAUUUGACUCUUUGGUUUCCAAUGUUAUUUAGAGAAUUGGAUGACUUAAAGCAUUUAUUUUUUUCAACUCAAUUCUUAUCAUAAUCCAUCAACAUCACUGUGUUUUUAUUCUCUAUUUCAUUUUUAUAUGAUCCUAUUAGUUGAGAGAAACACAAGUGACAUUUUUCUUUCCUAUGGCCUUGUCUCCUUUUUGCCUUUGCUAGAACUCAGAGAUCAUAUACCUUUUACUAAAUUAGAAUUCAGCCAUAUCCUCUGACCAACAAUUUUCCUAGCACUGAUCUUCUUCACUGAGUUUUGUUAGGGAUGAAACAAAGGCAGUUCUUUCUGCUCCAUGCAAAUGACAUUUGCAACCUGUCCCUAAAUCACAGACCGGA
rnacentral:lncRNA from 1 species